GCAGUGUGGAACCCAUAUGAAAUUAUGUAUCAAGUCUUGGCAAAAGCCCGAGAAUUGUGGAUCUGCUCUAAAGUGGAAAUAUGAACAGUUCAGAUUUAGUCUACUUUCCUCAUAUAACAUUAGCAAGAGAAUUCCAGGCACAGCACCUGACCAACUUCGGGAGAACAAAGCCUCCAUCUGGACCGAAGGGAAAGGGAGCUGGUCGCCCGUGGAGCAGCAAAGAACAAGGCUCUGCUUCCCUUUGAAGCGCUGGCAUUCUUCUUAAUCACCUGGCAAAGUCUUAAUUUAAAGAGGGACUCUUGGAGAAGGGGGAAUCUCAAGUAUAUUUGACUUUCAUAUCAAAUCUACUUACCUUUCAUCAGGUUUAUUAAAAUUGGUGAUGUGUUAAUUGUGAACCCUGUUUGUAUCUGAAUAGGAAGUGCUGCCUUUGGGUCCCCCCCUCCUUGCUGUUUUGUCUUAGGAUACACUCACAUUGCUGCCUUUGCCAUGGAGUAAUUAUUUCUGGGGAGACAUACUGUGAUGUCAGGCUACUGGGUUACAGUUGUUGCAGGGUAAACACAAGAGGACAUUAGAUUCUUAGAAUGCCUAAUUAGAAAGAAAGUAAGUGCAUUGCUGGAUAGCUGAAAAAUACAAGCCUAAGUAGUAUUGCAUUUUUCACCAGUGGAUGCUACAUGCAUUGGUACAUUUUAUAUCUUUACUCUUAGGAAGUAAACAUCAUAAAGGAAUUCUCUUGCCUUUUUAGAAAGAUACUUGUAAGAUUCACUUUGGAGGGAUAUAUAAAAUCCAUAAAGUUAUGGUAUCGGGAGGAGUAUUCAGUUCUACACCACGAGUGUGGAAAUUGUCAGUGAUUCCAAUACAUGCGCCUCAUCCAAAUUCCACCAUGGAGUGCGUUUUUAAAGAAUAGGGGAUAAGUGAUUUUUUGAUUUUAUACAGGUAUUGGGUUCUGGAUGCAGCCAUGUGCUGGAGAUACAAGAAACAUAACACACUUAUUGUCAUAAAGAGUUUGUAAUCUAUAUGUGGGAAAUGAAAUCAUCCGGGAACACAAGUACAAACAUAGAAUUGAACAUCACAAAUAUCAGUGGGAAAUCAGACUAAGAAAAUUUUAGUCAAAGAAAUAGGUGACUGGGCUCAUGGAAUUGCAGUUAGAGAUCAACUUUAAAAGUUGUAGAGCUAUGAAGAGAGGGAUGUGGAUGGUGUGUUCUCACUGUCGAUGAAGUAAAGAAGAAAAUGUGUGUAGGAAUAAGCCAGCUGAGUUUCUAGUGAGGACUCUCACCAUGUCAUAGUAGGAGUUUUCAAAUGAUCUCUGGAUAAAUGAAGGCAUCUUUAGUCAGCUAUCAGAUUUGAAAUUAAAGAUGAAUGUCGACUUUUGAUUUUGAGUGGAGUGUGUGUGUGUGUGUGUGUGUGUGUGUGUGCAUUUUCACUAAACUUUCUCUCUUCUCACAUGAUGAGGUGGUACCCAACUACAGCUCCUUGGUCCAUGACCCAUACUCCAAAAUUUUCCUCGCUUUUUUUCCUUCUCAGCAACCUUUCCUUUCAGGGCCUGUUUCCAGCUGACAGGGUGGGAGAAUGAUCAACAAAAUUAAUUUACCCUAGGUUGUAUACAUAUGACUGCAAUAACAAAUGAUGCUUCUCCCAAGACUGUUUAUAUUUGCAAAGGGUGUUCCCAACUCAAAGAAACAAUGGGCUGUCCCUUCAAGGAGUGGAUGACUGAGGAACACUUUUGGGGAAUAGGAGGACAUCCCAGUGUCCCUCAGUUCUCUCCAAUCAGUUGCUGUCUACCUACAGCAAUGUAUGCUCGGACAGAAAAGAACUUGUGUCUCAGGCCCACAGACAUUCACAGGCUUAUAAGCAAUGGUGUCUGUCACAUUGGGUGUUGGGAGUAGAGAGAUGGGCGGGGAGGUGUUGCUCACAAAAUCCCAUUUAGGGAAUUAUUUAUUAUUCUAGUUUGUCGUUUAUGCUUAUAGCAUCUGUAAUAAAUAAACACGCUCCAGAAGAAAGCACAACUUAACAAGGAGUAGAUGAGAUUGAAUGUGACGACUCCAGCCCUGUAAGAGAGGCACUGGCCCAUUAAAUGAAGGCGCACAGCUACUUCUUAAUGCUCUCCCUAAGUAAUCAAUUUCUGAAAAUACCAAAUAAUUUUAAAACAGCCCUGUCUGACCUCACUCUCCAGUGACGUUGGACCAGCCCUUGCUGAUUUGCCUACCUGGUUUUUAAUCAAUCAGAUUUGACAUUUUUGGUUUUGUUUUGUUUUAUUUUGUUUCUUCCCCUUGCCUACACUGGCACCUUUUCUCUUCCCUUGGCAAAAUUAAAUGGCAUCUGCCCUCCCUCAAGGUUAGGGACCCAAAACAUAGCUUAAUAUUUAUAGGUUUGGACGUCUUUUGAAAUAGCAGCAGAGGAAUCUAAAUGCCAUUGCAAGAGGGUAGAACAUUCUGAUGCUGUACUAGGAUUUGAUUUCUAUCCAGAUAAAAAGACCCAGGAUGCCCAGAGUCUGAACACAGAUGGAACUUGAGGAAGAGAAACUGUCAGCCUGAAAUAUCUUCUAUCAGACUUUCGAACAGAGUAUGAUUCAAGCAAAAGAGUUAAAAAAAAAUGUGAUUUGAGCCUACUUUCUCUUUUUGACUGAUUAAAUUCUCCAGGUCAUUUUAAAACUACUUUUUUUCUCAUUUCCCAGCUCGUAGAAGAUAAUAGUUGUGAAAGAGGCUUAUAGAUUAUAAUUUUUAAAUAUAUAUUGUAUUAUAUAACCAUCCUUUUUUUUUCUUUUUUGAUCUCCUUUCCCUCUUACUGCUUCCUCCUUUCUGUAUUCUUUUAAUCUUCUUAUUUCCCCUCCUCUUCUUCCUUUUGUAGUCAUCCUUCUUUUAAGUAUAAUUACAUGUAUUUGUUAUGAAUUGAAUAUUUGUGUGCCCCCAAAACUCAUAUGUUGAAACCUAACUCGCAACAUGGCAAUGUUUGGAAUUGGGCCUUUGGGAAAUGAUGAGGUCAU